AAAAAAAGAAAAAUUUGCUUUCCCUCUAUAUUUUCUCUUUCUUUGGUAUUUCUAAGGGUUCGUCUAAACGUAGAAAUUGUUUAAUCCAAUUGAAAAUUUCAAAGUUUCGUCUAGGCUAGAAAUUUCCAAAAUUUAAAGGUUGUGAUUCAAUCGAAGCUUCCGCUUUUAUCUUCCCUCGUACCACUGAAGGUGAGUUUAUCUGAUUUGAUAUUUUAUGAGAACAUCCAUGGCUCACUUCUCAUCGGUUGCUGCGAUUUAGAAGUUUGCUGUGAGUGUGAGCUUUAGGUUGCCAUAUCUGGAAACGUUUUCCCAAAAUAAUGGAUAGUUUCUUUUAGUGAUUUAGUUGUUUCGUGGUUUGUUUAACAUGCAUUUGUUGGGGUGUAUAUAGUGAUGGGGAUAAUGGAAUAAAAGCCUCAUUGAAUUGGCAUAUUGCUUUGCUUGCGAGAUGAGUUUUAGCUAAAGCUAAAGUGUCUCUGUUUUUUAAACAAAAAUGUUAGCCAGUAGCCAAAAGGCAUUAACGUUUAUGAAUAAUAGGAGUGUAAUCAAAGCCAGCUGAGUUUGAGCUAAAUUUGGUAUUCAAGAUUUAAA